AACCCUGAUGCAGCUAUACCGUGUGUGUGAAGAAGGCCUUAGGGUUGUAAAGCACUUUCAAUGGGGAAGAAUUUAAUGUUGCUAAUAUCGAUAUUAAUUGACGUUACCUAUAUAAGAAGCACCGGCUAACUCCGUGCCAGCAGCCGCGGUAAUACGGAGGGUGCAAGCGUUAAUCGGAAUUACUGGGCGUAAAGAGUACGAAGGUGGUUUGUUAAGUCAGAUGUGAAAUCCCUGAGCUUAACUUAGGAACUGCAUUUGAAACUAAUAAACUAGAGUUUCGUAGAGGGGGGUAGAAUUCCAGGUGUAGCGGUGAAAUGCGUAGAGAUCUGGAGGAAUACCAGUGGCGAAGGCGACCCCCUGGACGGAAACUGACACUCAGGUACGAAAGCAUGGGGAGCAAACAGGAUUAGAUACCCUGGUAGUCCAUGCCGUAAACGAUGUCGAUUUGAA
rnacentral:rRNA from 1 species